rnacentral:lncRNA from 1 species
UCACGCAUUGCGGUUGAAAAGAAAUCGAAAUUGCGCUCAAGCAUGCCCAUCACAUAAGAAAAUCAAAACCGUAUAUAAACUCCUGCAUAUUCCAUAUGUAAAUUACUAUAUCCUUCAAAUUAGUCAGAACCAGUGCGAUCUAAAAAUGAGAAUUUUGGCCCUUAUUUUGUUAUUUAUCGUUGGAGCCAUCAACGCCUUCCCUUACCCCAGACCUGAUGAUCCAUACAGCUCCUAUUCACAACCUGUUCCACAGACCGGAAGAGUCAAAAUUCAAGUAUACAGAGGACCUAACCAAGGGAAAGAUUACGAUGCUUUUGCUCCUUGGGGAUAUUACAACACUCAACCUCUUGAUCAGCAAUCAUCCUAUCCUGCCAAUUAAAUAGUUAGCUAUAGCAAAAUCAUUUAGAUAACAAAGAAAUAUAUAUAAUAAUUAUAUGUCAAACCAUUUUUAAAUUGAUUGUUGAGUUAUGAUUUUAUGUUUCAUAAUAAAUACAACAAAAUGAA